AUUAAGUCUUGCAGAAAGCUUGGGAGGAGCUGCUGACAAUGGAAUUGAGGAAGAAAAGUCUCGUUGAAUUCAUUAGAAAAUGGUACAUCUCUUAGCUCCAUUUGUUUUCAAAUAUCUUCUGCCAUUUCUGUUGUUGCAGGUUUUCGACGCAGAAUGAGAAUGAUUAAAGGUCAAGGGUUCUAAAAUCCAAAAACAUUAUGACACAAAGUUCUACUAAUAGUUCCAUCUUAUGAUGCAGCAUGAUGUCCUUUCAUAGUUUUAGAGUGUUAAUACAGGAACUUCUACAAGCAGGAUUUAUUGCUGUUGAAGAUCUUACACAUCUUCUUGUCCCUCUAUGACAUGACGCUGGGACUAAGAUCCUGAUCCACUGAACUUUAGCAAGACUCUCAAAUUCACAAGGGUUUUCAUUUCAGUUGCCUUGUCUUAGUAAACCUGAGAUCGAUCUCAGGCUGAGGAAAGAAGCUUAUGUUAGACUGAAUCAAACAAGUUGCAGAGGUGGUUGGUCUUGGUUGGAGGAAUUCUGAUUCGGUUCAAGAAGGUUAACCGCAAUAUAAUUCCGGUUAUACUGCCCCGACUGGUGAGAAGAAGUAACACCCGACUCGUAAACUGUCCCUUGAUGUAUCACACUCGAUUCUUGUUGCUGUAGACCUGUUCUUUCAGUAAUCUGCAGAGAUAUUUAGAAUUUGCACAUCAAGAGAUUGUCUACCGGAAAAAAAUGAUGAUCAAAAAUGCCAAAAAGAGUUAUGUAUAAAACCUUGGAGCGGAGAUACAUGUUAUCGUUUUGCAGCUCGAUUUCCUACAAUGCAAGCGACAACAGAAAAUAAAAAAAGAUGAUCAUCAGAAAGAGAAGUUGCUAAUAAAGUAGGGGGUAAGUUACUUGUGAAGGAAGAUAGGUUUUACUUUUACCCUUUUUUGCAUGUAUUCAAUCUCUGCAACUAACAUCUCGUGCUGGAGAGAAAAACCAAAUAUAACGGGCAAGAAUCAGAUGGAUAUAUAUUCAAUGAUAAGGAGAUUGAUGGA
rnacentral:lncRNA from 1 species